GUGGCAAACACUCACCCAUGAACGUCAUCGCAUAUGAAACCCUGAGAUAAAGUGAUCUCUCGACUCUUCAUGCUUCUGCUCUCCACUGGAUUCCCAUAGCAACAACUGGCCUUCCAGUACUGGGUGUCACCAUUUUGGAGAAACUCAAUUGGUUGGAUUGAAACGGACCAAAGCGACGGAUCUUGCCCCUAUUUUUAUCAACGCCAACUGCAAGGAGAGAGACAUGUUGGGGAAAUGGUUUCUGGCAGAAGUGAUUGACCAGGAGAGCGGUAGACCCGCUUCUUCGUAGCAGACGACUGCCGGUAUCAACUUUUAAAUCACGGUACGUAAGUAGACUGAAUCAAAAAUGCGCAAAGAUGUAUGUACAAGUAAAAUUCAAUUAUAUAAUGCAAAGCCUUACGUACCAGGGGCGUCGUUCUUGCAAUUUUCUUGGAAUCACGGUCUUGACUAGGCCAAACGUUAGCGAUGAAACAUCUAAUUUUCGCGUAAAUAAUGAUGCCGGUGCGAAAGUCGAAGCUGAUUUUGCAGAGCAUGAGGAUAUAUACUCGCAGUAUAGAAUGAAUGAAAUUCAUAGAAAAAUGAAAGAAUGAAAUUAAAGUAGUCCGUGAAUUUUUUUUUUGUCACGAAAUCUCCGCUUCGCUAUCCUCCAUUUUGGAGAAAGUUUGGUGUCGUGGCGAUCCCCACGGAAAACGGUAACCAAUGAAAUGCGCCCUAGUUUGAUUGAUAGGUCGAGCAUCUUUUUUAGGCUCCUCCUAAUGGCCAGACUCCCUUUGGCAUACACGGCACUGGCAUUUAGCUGUUUCACAAUACAGAUAACGCAUUUGGUAGAGACACCCCAUAGAACCCCUCCCGAAAUGCUUUGCAAUGAUCGUCAGCCGGGGCAUAAUUCGUGGCUUUACAUCGCGCGAGAGGUUCUCCUUGUCGAGAAACCAUAGCAAGAAACUAACAUGCUAAAAGUUUUUGAAGUAAAAAGUUUAAAAUUUCAAGGUUCUCCUUCGCAUUCCUCCUCAGGUCGUGGUCGUCGUCCCAGCGUUUCGCGUUUCUUUGUGAGGGGGUAGUGCUGCCGUGGCGCUGGCAGGUGUUACAAACGAGUUGUACUUCGUGCCCGAGUGUGACAGUCUUCUGCUCGGCGGACGAUGACGCAAGCAAUGCAAGCUGCUACCUCCACGUCAAUCACUGAAAUGCUGCCGUGCCUGUUCACCGAGUAUUUAUUUACACAAAAGCCCUUACAGGGCAUUACAUGGGGGGGUACAUAGAGGCUGGUACAACACAGAAGUGCUUAGAUACUGCGGUGCGAAAUUGAUGAGGGCCAGUAAGUUGGACUAUGUGAUGAGGGAGGCUAUUCCAUGAAAUGGCCGUUUGCGGAAAAAAGGAGUUCAUAAAACGAGACUUACAGCUUUGUGUGGAUUGUCAAUGCGUGGAAAAACUGUUCGCGUUGGUGUUAUGUAAUGUCUACAAAGAGAGGGUUUGUGAUAGAACCUGUGCAAUAAGCAUAGUGCCACAAUGAACCUACGAUGUUGCAGACAUAGAAUACCUAAUGAUGAUUGCAUCACAGGCUUGACCUAGCAAUCACACGCACGGCAGGGUCUGAGGAGCUCGUGCAACUCACUAGAUGGAAUCACGUUCCUCACUGAGACCGUACCAAGCGCGCAAAAAGAAGAUUGAGGUUUGGACGGUCGAAUGGGAUGUUCCUGGACAACGGACGGCGAUAGGAACUGGGGGCCGGACACAACUUUUUCAAUAACAAGUUCACCAGUUUAUAACAAAGAUAACAAUUUUUGCACAACAAUGAUCACAAUUGACAGAGCUUAUAUAUAUACAAGCCGAACGAGGUAGAUGUUACAAAUCAAAUCAACGAUUGUUGCGAAUGCUAUGGCCAGUUCGAUAGAGAAGGGGUGUGAUGGUGUGGCGUCCCCGAGUCCGAUGAAAGGGGUCCGGAGUUGAGCCGGCGCCCAAGUUGGUGCACGUUGUCGGGGCUCUCUCGCGUAGCGGUGACCACUCACGCAACACACGGCACACAUCUUGGCGGCUGUCCUCGGUGCACGCAUUUUCACGCCACGGCCCCGCACAUAACCGAUCACAAGUCCUGCUGAUGUCCGACUGCCCAGCGUUUUUCGUCGUCUUCCCCUCUUUCUCGCCACUUGUUGAAACGCUUCCGAAGCAUUUGACACUGCAGUUGGAGGAAGGCCACUCUCUGAGAACAAGGGGAGCCGCCCGAAAUGAGUUUUUACAUCUGUGAGUUGCAACUUGAAAGGCGCCUAUCCCCGCUUCUGAGACGGAGAAGGGUCGCAUAUUGCCUAGUGUUCUCGGAACCACGGGUCUCCCCGCUGACCUUGGUUAACAAACCACUCGAGCUCUGUGACAAUUACAUUGUACGCAAUUCUACUGUUGUAAAUAAAGACUACUUCUUCUUCUGA